UGUCUCGCCACAUUGUUUAAUUAUCCUAUCGCAGCGCACAAUGCGCUCGCAUUGCUCACUGUACAAAAUCGCUAAACGUUUAUCAAUGGCGUACCAAGUUACAAAAUCUUUUACGAUCGCAUUCGACACGUUUUAAGACUUAAACUUUGCGACUCACACUGAAAUUUACCCGCCUCAAUUAUUUGUAAAACUAAUUUCAGCGAAGUAAAAUUGAAAAGAGCACAAACAAGGUACGCGUGUCAAACGCGAAUUUAUCUCCAGCAAUGAAACAUUGAAAAGGUUUAUUUAGGUAAUGAUGAAUCCAAUUCUGUUUGAUUGUCGGAUUUAUUGCCAAUUUCACAAUCAAAGAAAGAGAACAAGACGAAAACGGUGAAAUUCGAUUUUAUAUUUUUGCGUACUUUACGACCUCCUGCCUUAAAACCCAAUUGUGGUCAAAGCAAAAAUUCACCAACCUUAUUCUGAAGCUUAAAAUUCCGUUGGAUAGCACUGCGAAUGUUCAGUAAGUCACAAUUAAACUGUACUUAAAAACAACUGUAAAACUAGACAAAUUUCGUGUGUAAAGUCACAAUGCCGAAAUAAAAAUAUUAAUCCCCAAAA